rnacentral:tRNA from 1 species
CAGGGAAUAGUUUAUUUAAAAUAAUAAUUUUGGAGAUUAUCGAUAAGAAUUAUCUUUUCCUUGA